AUGGUGGAGCUCACCGAGAUCGGAGGAAAAGAGGGAAAGGGGAAGUGUCCAGGAUGUUAGGUGGAAAGUAUUGAAAACUGGAAACGAGAGAGCUCUGCGGUGGUGAUGGGGAGGGGGUGGCUGGGUGGGAAGAUAUGGGUUUUUUUUUUUUCAAAAAAACUUUUCUUUAAAUAGAAUGGAUGAGAUAUUUGGGGGACUCAGAGGGGAGAUUUGGGCGAUGAUGAUUUGAGUAAUUUGGGGGAAGAUUAGCAAAAUCGAAAAAUAAG